rnacentral:rRNA from 1 species
UACGUAGGGUGCGAGCGUUGUCCGGAAUUAUUGGGCGUAAAGAGCUCGUAGGCGGUCUGUCGCGUCGAUCGUGAAAACCUGAGGCUCAACCUCAGGCCUGCAGUCGAUACGAGCAGACUAGAGUGUUGCAGGGGAGACUGGAAUUCCUGGUGUAGCGGUGAAAUGCGCAGAUAUCAGGAGGAACACCGGUGGCGAAGGCGGGUCUCUGGGCAACAACUGACGCUGAGGAGCGAAAGCGUGGGGAGCGAACAGG